rnacentral:lncRNA from 1 species
UCUAGAAAAUAUUGAACAAUUAGGCUUCGAUCUUGAGACUUCGAAUACCAAUAAUUAAACCCUUAAUUAAUUGCGCUAAGUACCAAUUACUUAAUUUUAUGGCCUUUCUGAGUGUCAUAAUUAGUGAUAACUUAUUUGAUAUAAAAAUUUUUUAUUGUAGUUAAAUGUUACGAGUUUGAUUUUUGUAAAAACUAAUUUUAUAAUCUAUAUCUUAUGCAACAUUUGAUUACACUUCUUAUCGACCAAAUACUACAAACUUCAUAAGUAAAUUAAAAUAUAUAUAUAUAUACUGAACAACAUGUUCAUAUAUCCUAUUUCUAGCUAGCUAAGUACCUUUCUAAAAAAUAAUAAUAAUAAACUAAGCAGAUAAUACUCUACCAUUCUCUAAAAAAUAUAUAAUAAAUUUACUUAUGAAAACAAUAAUAAUUUUAAAGGGUAAAAAUACAGUUCAUCAGGCAUGUUAGACAGUUGAUCACGCUAAGUAAUUGAGGCUCUCAAAAGAGUAUACAGAACAAAAUAUUCAUGUGUACUAGACUAGAUAUACUUAUAGAAAAAACUUUAAAUACCAUCUUUAUCCGGCGGUGCAAAGUUUCUCACUUUAGUAUCCAAUAGUUUAAAAUAUCUUUAAUAUCCCGUUGUUUCGUUUCUCUCUUUUCGUCCCCGUCUAUGGUUUAUCAAAUAUUCACUAUAAUACUCUGUGGUUUAGUAAAUUUUAUUUUAGUACCCUAUGGUUAUAAUUGUCUCACUGAUUUAACAAAAAAAAUUAACAAAGAGGAUAACGGAAAGAGAAAAAUAAAACCAUGGAGUAUUAAAGUGGUACACUUUAAACUACAGGGUACGAAAGUGAGAAAAUACGAAACCACGGGGUUGUAUUUGG